GCCCUCAGGAGGGGGAUAACGGUUGGAAACGACCGCUAAUACCCCAUAUGCCUACUGGUGAAACGAAUUUCGCCUGAGGAUGAGCUCGCGUCUGAUUAGCUUGUUGGUGAGGUAAUGGCUCACCAAGGCUUCGAUCAGUAGCUGGUCUGAGAGGAUGAUCAGCCACACUGGGACUGAGACACGGCCCAGACUCCUACGGGAGGCAGCAGUGGGGAAUUUUCCGCAAUGGGCGAAAGCCUGACGGAGCAACGCCGCGUGAGGGACGAAGGCCUCUGGGCUGUAAACCUCUUUUCUCAAGGAAGAAGAUAUGACGGUACUUUGAGGAAUAAGCCACGGCUAAUUCCGUGCCAGCAGCCGCGGUAAUACGGGAGUGGCAAGCGUUAUCCGGAAUUAUUGGGCGUAAAGCGUCCGCAGGCGGCUUUUUCAAGUCUGCUGUUAAAGCGUGGAGCUUAACUCCAUCAUGGCAGUGGAAACUGAAAGGCUUGAGUAUGGUAGGGGCAGAGGGAAUUCCCGGUGUAGCGGUGAAAUGCGUAGAUAUCGGGAAGAACACCAGUGGCGAAGGCGCUCUGCUGGGCCAUUACUGACGCUCAUGGACGAAAGCCAGGGGAGCGAAAGGGAUUAGAUACCCCUGUAGUCCUGGCCGUAAACGAUGAACACUAGGUGUCGGGGGAAUCGACCCCUUCGGUGUCGUAGCUAACGCGUUAAGUGUUCCGCCUGGGGAGUACGCACGCAAGUGUGAAACUCAAAGGAAUUGACGGGGGCCCGCACAAGCGGUGGAGUAUGUGGUUUAAUUCGAUGCAACGCGAAGAACCUUACCAGGGUUUGACAUCCUGAGAACCUCUUAGAAAUUUGAGGGUGCCUUCGGGAAUUCAGUGACAGGUGGUGCAUGGCUGUCGUCAGCUCGUGUCGUGAGAUGUUGGGUUAAGUCCCGCAACGAGCGCAACCCACGUUUUUAGUUGCCAGCAUUUAGUUGGGCACUCUAGAAAGACCGCCGGUGAUAAACCGGAGGAAGGUGUGGAUGACGUCAAGUCAUCAUGCCCCUUACACCCUGGGCUACACACGUACUACAAUGCUACGGACAAAGGGCAGCAAACUCGCGAGAGCUAGCAAAUCCCAUAAACCGUGGCUCAGUUCAGAUCGUAGGCUGCAACUCGCCUACGUGAAGUAGGAAUCGCUAGUAAUCGCAGGUCAGCAUACUGCGGUGAAUACGUUCCCGGGCCUUGUACACACCGCCCGUCACACCAUGGAAGUUGGCCAUGCCCGAAGUCGUUACUCCAACCCUUGUGGAGGAGGACGCCGAAGGUGGGGCUAAUGACUGGGGUGAAGUCAUAACAAGGUAACCGUA
rnacentral:rRNA from 1 species